rnacentral:rRNA from 1 species
GUGGGGAAUAUUGGACAAUGGGCGAAAGCCUGAUCCAGCCAUGCCGCGUGUGUGAAGAAGGUCUUCGGAUUGUAAAGCACUUUAAGUUGGGAGGAAGGGCAGUAAGUUAAUACCUUGUUGUUUUGACGUUACCGACAGAAUAAGCACCGGCUAACUUCGUGCCAGCAGCCGCGGUAAUACGAAGGGUGCAAGCGUUAAUCGGAAUUACUGGGCGUAAAGCGCGCGUAGGUGGUUUUGUAAGUUGGAGGUGAAAUCCCCGGGCUCAACCUGGGAACUGCCUCCAAAACUGCAUGACUAGAGUACGGUAGAGGGUAGUGGAAUUUCCUGUGUAGCGGUGAAAUGCGUAGAUAUAGGAAGGAACACCAGUGGCGAAGGCGACUACCUGGACUGAUACUGACACUGAGGUGCGAAAGCGUGGGGAGCAAACAGGAUUAGAUACCCGAGUAGUCC